AGGGCGCUUACAACUUUGUGAUUCAUGACUGGGGUGAAGUCGUAACAAGGUAACCGUAGGGGAGCCUGCGGUUGGAUCACCUACUUAACUUAAAGAAGC
rnacentral:rRNA from 1 species